rnacentral:rRNA from 1 species
GGGUUGUGAGGUUAAGCGACUAAGCGUACACGGUGGAUGCCCUGGCAGUCAGAGGCGAUGAAGGACGUGCUAAUCUGCGAUAAGCGUCGGUAAGGUGAUAUGAACCGUUAUAACCGGCGAUUUCCGAAUGGGGAAACCCAGUGUGUUUCGACACACUAUCAUUAACUGAAUCCAUAGGUUAAUGAGGCGAACCGGGGGAACUGAAACAUCUAAGUACCCCGAGGAAAAGAAAUCAACCGAGAUUCCCCCAGUAGCGGCGAGCGAACGGGGAGCAGCCCAGAGCCUGAAUCAGUGUGUGUGUUAGUGGAAGCGUCUGGAAAGGCGCGCGAUACAGGGUGACAGCCCCGUACACAAAAAUGCACAUGCUGUGAGCUCGAUGAGUAGGGCGGGACACGUGGUAUCCUGUCUGAAUAUGGGGGGACCAUCCUCCAAGGCUAAAUACUCCUGACUGACCGAUAGUGAACCAGUACCGUGAGGGAAAGGCGAAAAGAACCCCGGCGAGGGGAGUGAAAAAGAACCUGAAACCGUGUACGUACAAGCAGUGGGAGCACGCUUAGGCGUGUGACUGCGUACCUUUUGUAUAAUGGGUCAGCGACUUAUAUUCUGUAGCAAGGUUAACCGAAUAGGGGAGCCGAAGGGAAACCGAGUCUUAACUGGGCGUUAAGUUGCAGGGUAUAGACCCGAAACCCGGUGAUCUAGCCAUGGGCAGGUUGAAGGUUGGGUAACACUAACUGGAGGACCGAACCGACUAAUGUUGAAAAAUUAGCGGAUGACUUGUGGCUGGGGGUGAAAGGCCAAUCAAACCGGGAGAUAGCUGGUUCUCCCCGAAAGCUAUUUAGGUAGCGCCUCGUGAAUUCAUCUCCGGGGGUAGAGCACUGUUUCGGCAAGGGGGUCAUCCCGACUUACCAACCCGAUGCAAACUGCGAAUACCGGAGAAUGUUAUCACGGGAGACACACGGCGGGUGCUAACGUCCGUCGUGAAGAGGGAAACAACCCAGACCGCCAGCUAAGGUCCCAAAGUCAUGGUUAAGUGGGAAACGAUGUGGGAAGGCCCAGACAGCCAGGAUGUUGGCUUAGAAGCAGCCAUCAUUUAAAGAAAGCGUAAUAGCUCACUGGUCGAGUCGGCCUGCGCGGAAGAUGUAACGGGGCUAAACCAUGCACCGAAGCUGCGGCAGCGACGCUUAUGCGUUGUUGGGUAGGGGAGCGUUCUGUAAGCCUGCGAAGGUGUGCUGUGAGGCAUGCUGGAGGUAUCAGAAGUGCGAAUGCUGACAUAAGUAACGAUAAAGCGGGUGAAAAGCCCGCUCGCCGGAAGACCAAGGGUUCCUGUCCAACGUUAAUCGGGGCAGGGUGAGUCGACCCCUAAGGCGAGGCCGAAAGGCGUAGUCGAUGGGAAACAGGUUAAUAUUCCUGUACUUGGUGUUACUGCGAAGGGGGGACGGAGAAGGCUAUGUUGGCCGGGCGACGGUUGUCCCGGUUUAAGCGUGUAGGCUGGUUUUCCAGGCAAAUCCGGAAAAUCAAGGCUGAGGCGUGAUGACGAGGCACUACGGUGCUGAAGCAACAAAUGCCCUGCUUCCAGGAAAAGCCUCUAAGCAUCAGGUAACAUCAAAUCGUACCCCAAACCGACACAGGUGGUCAGGUAGAGAAUACCAAGGCGCUUGAGAGAACUCGGGUGAAGGAACUAGGCAAAAUGGUGCCGUAACUUCGGGAGAAGGCACGCUGAUAUGUAGGUGAAGUCCCUCGCGGAUGGAGCUGAAAUCAGUCGAAGAUACCAGCUGGCUGCAACUGUUUAUUAAAAACACAGCACUGUGCAAACACGAAAGUGGACGUAUACGGUGUGACGCCUGCCCGGUGCCGGAAGGUUAAUUGAUGGGGUCAGCGCAAGCGAAGCUCUUGAUCGAAGCCCCGGUAAACGGCGGCCGUAACUAUAACGGUCCUAAGGUAGCGAAAUUCCUUGUCGGGUAAGUUCCGACCUGCACGAAUGGCGUAAUGAUGGCCAGGCUGUCUCCACCCGAGACUCAGUGAAAUUGAACUCGCUGUGAAGAUGCAGUGUACCCGCGGCAAGACGGAAAGACCCCGUGAACCUUUACUAUAGCUUGACACUGAACAUUGAGCCUUGAUGUGUAGGAUAGGUGGGAGGCUUUGAAGUGUGGACGCCAGUCUGCAUGGAGCCGACCUUGAAAUACCACCCUUUAAUGUUU